ACGGUAUUCGUAUUUUUCUGUGCGUUUUUGCACACACAGAAGUAUUUAGGUUUCUAGUAGUGAUAUGUGGGGAACUAAACUCUAAUAUAGAUAAAAGUGAGUAAUGGGUGAAGUGGUAGAGAAGGCUACGCGUGAGGUUGAGGUCAUGAGUUUGAAUCCUACUGAUCGCGAAGCGCGCGAUUUCAUGCACAAAAAUGCGUGACUUUUGCGACGGGCGAGCGGAUAACCAAUGGGCCUUUUCUGGGAUUAAAUCUUUUUUUUCCUAUUUUUAAAAGCUGAUUUUGUAUUUUCUAGAAAAGUAUUUCUACAGUGCGGCUACACAUCAUGGUAAACCUGGAUCCCUUCAUCUCCUUCAUAAGGUACAAUGUCAUGCAAUAUGCAGACAAAGCACACGGAGCCUGGCAACAAUUUGCAUGUAGGAAGUGGAUCGGUGAGUAGGAGGGC
rnacentral:lncRNA from 1 species